rnacentral:rRNA from 1 species
UAUCUCUGUAGAGUCUGCAUAUCAAUAAGCGGAGGAAAAGAAACUAACUAGGAUUCCCUCAGUAACGGCGAGUGAAGCGGGAAGAGCUCAAAUUUGAAAUCUUCAAGGUUUUACCUUGACGAAUUGUAGUUUAAAGAAGUGUUUUCUGUUGAGUGUUUCGGUAAAAGUUCUUUGGAAUAGGACAUCAUAGAGGGUGAGAAUCCCGUAUUUGACCAUUACUUUCCAGCUGUGUGAUACACUUUCAAAGAGUCGGAUUGUUUGGGAAUGCAGUCCAAAAUGGGUGGUAAAUUUCAUCUAAAGCUAAAUAUUGGCGAGAGACCGAUAGCGAACAAGUACCGUGAGGGAAAGAUGAAAGGAACUUUGAAAAGAGAGUUAAACAGUACGUGAAAUUGUCAAAAGGGAAGCGUUUGACACCAGUGUUGUUUUUCCGAAAAUCAAUUACGAAUGGCUUGAUUCUGUGUUGUAUUGACCUUAUCAGCUUUCUGCACUUUUUUUGAGUCUUUCUUAUCGCACUUUUUGGUUAACAAGUCAACAUCAAUUUCUUUUGUUGUAAAAGAGUAUUCGGAAGGUGGCUUUCUUUUCGGAGAAAGUGUUUAUAGCCUUUGGCCUCUGCAAUCGGAGAGAUUGAGGUCUGCAGCGUAGAUCCUUCGGGGCUAGAUACGUAGAUGCUAAGUUAUAGUUUUUUAUAGACAACUUGUUGACUAUAAUUAAUCAUGUAGCUUACUCGUUUGCGCUAUUUUACCUACGCUUAGGAUGUUGAAGAUGUAGCACAUCAU